rnacentral:rRNA from 1 species
AUACGGGGGGGGCAAGCGUUGUCCGGAAUUACUGGGCGUAAAGGGCGUGUAGGCGGAUAGAUGAGUCUGGGGUGAAAUCCUACAGCUUAACUGUAGAACGGCCUUUGAUACUGUCUAUCUUGAGUUCGGGAGAGGGAAGCGGAAUUCCUGGUGUAGCGGUGAAAUGCGUAGAUAUCAGGAAGAACACCGGUAGCGAAGGCGGCUUCCUGGCCCGAAACUGACGCUGAAGCGCGAAAGCGUGGGGAGCAAACAGGAUUAGAUACCCUAGUAGUCC